UACAGAGGUGGCAAGCGUUGUUCGGAAUUACUGGGCGUAAAGGGCGCGUAGGCGGCCUUGUAAGUCCUGUGUGAAAUCCCCCGGCUCAACUGGGGAACUGCACAGGAGACUGCUUGGCUUGAGUUCGGGAGAGGGAAGCGGAAUUCCGGGUGUAGCGGUGAAAUGCGUAGAUAUCCGGAGGAACACCGGUGGCGAAGGCGGCUUCCUGGACCGACACUGACGCUGAGGCGCGAAAGCCAGGGGAGCAAACAGG
rnacentral:rRNA from 1 species